GGAGAGGUGGCCGAGUGGCUGAAGGCGCCGGUUUGCUAAACCGGUGAGCUCCGUCAAGGGGCUCCGUGGGUUCGAAUCCCAUCCUCUCCG
rnacentral:tRNA from 1 species